rnacentral:rRNA from 1 species
UACAGAGGUCUCAAGCGUUGUUCGGAUUCAUUGGGCGUAAAGGGUGCGUAGGUGGCGGGGUAAGUCAGUGGUGAAAUCUCCAGGCUCAACUUGGAAACUGCCAUUGAUACUAUUAAUCUUGAAUACCGUGGAGGUCAGCGGAAUAUGUCAUGUAGCGGUGAAAUGCUUAGAUAUGACAUAGAACACCAAUUGCGAAGGCAGCUGGCUACACGAAUAUUGACACUGAUGCACGAAAGCGUGGGGAUCAAACAGG